rnacentral:rRNA from 1 species
AGAGCGAACGCUGGCGGCAGGCUUAACACAUGCAAGUCGAACGGACCCUUCGGGGUUAGUGGCGGACGGGUGAGUAACACGUGGGAACGUGCCUUUUGGUUCGGAACAACUCAGGGAAACUUGAGCUAAUACCGGAUGUGCCCUUCGGGGGAAAGAUUUAUCGCCAUUAGAGCGGCCCGCGUCUGAUUAGCUAGUUGGUGAGGUAAAGGCUCACCAAGGCGACGAUCAGUAGCUGGUCUGAGAGGAUGACCAGCCACAUUGGGACUGAGACACGGCCCAAACUCCUACGGGAGGCAGCAGUGGGGAAUCUUGCGCAAUGGGCGAAAGCCUGACGCAGCCAUGCCGCGUGAAUGAUGAAGGUCUUAGGAUUGUAAAAUUCUUUCACCGGGGACGAUAAUGACGGUACCCGGAGAAGAAGCCCCGGCUAACUUCGUGCCAGCAGCCGC